AACGAACGCUGGCGGCAGGCUUAACACAUGCAAGUCGAGCGCCCCGCAAGGGGAGCGGCAGACGGGUGAGUAACGCGUGGGAAUCUACCGUGCCCUACGGAGUAACGCAUGGAAACGUGUGCUAAUACCGUAUACGCCCUACGGGGGAAAGAUUUAUCGGGGUAUGAUGAGCCCGCGUUGGAUUAGCUAGUUGGUGGGGUAAAGGCCUACCAAGGCGACGAUCCAUAGCUGGUCUGAGAGGAUGAUCAGCCACAUUGGGACUGAGACACGGCCCAAACUCCUACGGGAGGCAGCAGUGGGGAAUAUUGGACAAUGGGCGCAAGCCUGAUCCAGCCAUGCCGCGUGAGUGAUGAAGGUCUUAGGAUUGUAAAGCUCUUUCACCGGUGAAGAUAAUGACGGUAACCGGAGAAGAAGCCCCGGCUAACUUCGUGCCAGCAGCCGCCGCAG
rnacentral:rRNA from 1 species